GUAAACAUUGGUUGACAGGUCACUUAUAAUACCCCCUCAAGAUGGAGCAUGAAGGUUCCGAAUGCCCAACUUGCCAAGAAGAAAAUGAAAUUGAUCGUUGCCCAAGGCCUUAGUGAAGAUAUCAGCUGACUGGAUGGAACUACGAACAUUGACCAUGCGAAUGUUGCCACUGAGUAUUUCAUUGCGAAUAAAGUGGCAGUCCACUUCGAUAUGUUUGGUGUGUUCGUGAUAGACAAGAUUGGCUGUAAUGUGCAGAGCAGCUUGACUAUCACAAUAUAAUUGCAUAAGCAUAGUUUAAGACACUCUAAGAGAGAUUAGGAGGCCUUUAAACCAUUUAAGAUCACAGGCACAGUGAUCAUAGACCUAUAUUCAACCUCACAGAGGAGUGAGACACAAUUAGCUACUUCUUAGUCUUCCAAGAAAUGGGAGAGCCACCCAAAAGAACAAGAUAGCCAAUAAGAGACCUGCGGGUCAAAGAGUAAAUAGCCCAGUCAGAGUCACAGUAAGCGGUCAAGGCAAGGUUAAAAUUGGCAAGCAUCAAGAUGCCCUGGCUGGGCUAGCCUUUGAGAUAACGGACUACUCGGAGAGUAGCCUCCCAAUGAAUUUGCAGUGGUCGUUGCAUGAACUGCGCAAGAAUAUGCACAUAGUAGGACAAUUUGGGCUGAGUAAUAGUGAGAUAAAUAAGAUGACUCACCAAGCACCGAUAGGAAGUAGGAGUAGCAAAGGCAGCUUCCUUCGCAAAAGCCAGCUUAUGACUUUGUUCUAGAGGAGUGGCAGUCGGUUUGAAACCCAACAAACCAACAUCAAAAAUUACAUAUAAGGCAUACUUAUGUUGACACAGAAAAAGGCCUUCAGCGGUGCGGGUUACCUCGAGUCCUAAGAAGAAUUUCAGGGUUUCCAAGACUUUCAUGUGGAAACAGCGGCUCAAGUACUCCUUGAAUUUUUGAACAGCAAAAAGAUUAUUGCAUGCGAUAAUGAGAUUAUCAACAUUAAUAAGAACAUUCAAAGGAAGCGAUCCAACAUGAAGAAUGAACAAGGAAUAAUCUGAAUAGAAUUGUUGAAAUUCAUAGGCUCGUAAAAAAGCAGCCAGCUUGACAAACCAACAACGAGGAACUUGACGCAAAUAGUAGAGAGACUUGCAGAGGUGACAGACUUUGCCAGAGGAGGAAGAGCAAAGCCGGGUGGCAUUUUCAUGUAGACUUCUUCUUGCAAGUCACCGUGUAAAAAAUCAUUAUGGACGUCCAUUUGAUAUAAUUCCUAAUUCUUGGUAGCUGCGACUACAAGAAGAGUACGGACCGUACCCAUUUUCAUUGUGGGUGCAAAGGUGUCCUGAUAAUCAAGCCCUUUAACUUAUUUAUUGUCCAAGAUAACCAGUCGUGCCUUGUAUCGUUCAAUACUCCCAUCAGAAUUAUACUUGAUUUUGUAUACCCAUUUGCUGGCAAUUGUGCGCUUCCCAGAAGGUAAAGCUUGACUGUCCAUGUAUCAUUGUCCUCCAAAGCUUGAAUUUUUGUGUGCAUGGCCUCUCUCCAUCGGGCAUCUUGAAAAGCUUUAAUAUAAGAGGUGGGUUCAUGUCCUGCAGUAAUCACUCUCAAGAAACACCUAUGUUGUGUAGAGAAUUUAUCAUAACUCACAUAAUAUGCUAUAGGGUAAGGAGUACCUGAAGAAGAAGCUAAUGGAGAGGAUGAGUACGGCGAAGGGCUUACAUUGAUCGCGUGAGUCACAUAGUCUUUUAAAUGAAUCGAAACCUACUUAGUUCAUUGUCCCCUUCCUAACAGCUCAGAAGCUAUAUCAC
rnacentral:lncRNA from 1 species